rnacentral:Y_RNA from 1 species
GGCUUGUCUGAAAGUAGUGGGGCUAUCUAUCUGGGUCAGAGUUAGUUAUAGAUCAAACUCUCUGUUUUACAAUUUUCCCCUCUAUAACUACUGUACUUGACUAUUCUUAA